GUAACACCCGUCCGCCGUGAGGCGAGGACCAGCGCCACAGUGACGAACCCGCGCAAGCGGGGUGAAACGGGCAAGCUCUUCGCGCUGCAAGCGCAAGUAAGGGGACCAUGGCGUGGCCCGCGCCGUCCCCGGGUAGCGUGCUAGAGGCGGAGGGCAACUUCCGCCCCAGAGAGAUGACCGUCCCCGACGGAAUCCGGCUUAUGACCUGCCUCGGUGU
rnacentral:RNase_P_RNA from 1 species